rnacentral:rRNA from 1 species
ACGCUCGACACCUACGGGAGGCAGCAGUGGGGAAUAUUGCACAAUGGGGGAAACCCUGAUGCAGCGACGCCGCGUGAGCGAAGAAGUAUUUCGGUAUGUAAAGCUCUAUCAGCAGGGAAGAUAAUGACGGUACCUGACUAAGAAGCUCCGGCUAAAUACGUGUCAGCAGCCGCGGUAAUCUGAGCGGGCUGGCAAGGC